rnacentral:rRNA from 1 species
GGCGAUAUAAGUUAGUUGUGAAAUCCCCGGGCUUAACCUGGGAACUGCAAUUGAUACUGUAUGGCUAGAGUUUGGGAGAGGAUAGUGGAAUUUCCGGUGUAGCGGUGAAAUGCGUAGAUAUCGGAAGGAACACCAGUGGCGAAGGCGACUAUCUGGCCUAGAACUGACACUGAGGCACGAAAGCGUGGGUAGCGAACAGGAUUAGAUACCCUGGUAGUCCACGCUGUAAACGAUGAGAACUAGAUGAAGGAUAGGUUAAACCUAUUUUGUAUCGAAGCUAACGCGUUAAGUUCUCCGCCUGGGGAGUACGGUCGCAAGAUUAAAACUCAAAGAAAUUGACGGGGACCCGCACAAGCGGUGGAGCAUGUGGUUUAAUUCGAUGCAACGCGAAGAACCUUACCUACCCUUGACAUGUAUAGAAGUCUGCAGAGAUGUGGACGUGCCCGCAAGGGAGCUAUAACACAGGUGCUGCAUGGCUGUCGUCAGCUCGUGUCGUGAGAUGUUGGGUUAAGUCCCGUAACGAGCGCAACCCUUGUCCUUAGUUGCCAACACGUAAAGGUGGGAACUCUAAGGAGACUGCCGGUGAUAAACCGGAGGAAGGUGGGGAUGACGUCAAGUCCUCAUGGCCCUUAUGGGUAGGGCUACACACGUGCUACAAUGGGCGUUACAGAGGGAAGCGAAGUCGUGAGGCGGAGCAAAUCUCAGAAAGGCGCUCGUAGUCCGGAUUGAAGUCUGGAACUCGACUUCAUGAAGUC